rnacentral:lncRNA from 1 species
GUGCGGGUAAUUUCAUAUGGAAAAAUAUUUUGCAUGCUAUCUGCGACUGAAUGGUCGGUGCGCGGAAAAAAUUUUCUAUGCACGAAACUGUACAUACAUGCGCACACAAAUGGUACCUUAAAAAAUAAGUAAAAUGCGUCAUUUCUAAGAUAGAAAUAUUAUACUAAAUUUGAAAUAUCAAAUUUAUUGGGAUUUUAGAAUAACCAAGUGUCACACAUCCAUA